rnacentral:rRNA from 1 species
CAGCAGCCGCGGUAAUACGGAAGGAGCUAGCGUUGUUCGGAAUUACUGGGCGUAAAGCGCACGUAGGCGGCGAUUUAAGUCAGAGGUGAAAGCCCGGGGCUCAACUCCGGAAUUGCCUUUAAGACUGCCGAGCUAGUAGGUGAGAGAGGUAAGUGGAAUUCCGAGUGUAGAGGUGAAAUUCGUAGAUAUUCGGAAGAACACCAGUGGCGAAGGCGGCUUACUGACUCAUUCUAGACGCUGAGGUGCGAAAGCGUGGGGAGCAAACAGGAUUAGAUACCCCGGUAGUCCCUGUCUCUUAUAC